CCUACGGGAGGCAGCAGUGAGGAAUAUUGGUCAAUGGCCGUAAGGCUGAACCAGCCAAGUCGCGUGAAGGAAGAAGGAUCUAUGGUUUGUAAACUUCUUUUAUAGGGGAAUAAAGGUAUCCACGUGUGGAUAUUUGCAUGUACCCUAUGAAUAAGCAUCGGCUAACUCCGUUCCAGCAGCCGCGGUAAUACGGAGGAUUCGAGCGUUAUCCGGCUUUAUUGGGUUUAAAGGGUGCGUAGGUUGUUUUUUAAGUCAGCGGUGAAAGUUUGUGGCUCAACCAUAAAAUUGCCGUUGAAACUGGAAGACUUGCGUGUGUUUGAGGUAGGCGGAAUGCGUGGUGUAGCGGUGAAAUGCAUAGAUAUCACGCAGAACUCCGAUUGCGAAGGCAGCUUACUAAGCCAUAACUGACACUGAAGCACGAAAGCGUGGGGAGCAAACAGGAUUAGAUACCCUAGUAGUC
rnacentral:rRNA from 1 species